CGAGCCGCACAGUGGCUCCCCCGUAUCGGGCCGGGUAGGAUCGGUACCUGAACCUGUAGCCGAGUCGGGGGAAGAUGAAGGGGAACGGGACGCCAUUUUUACGGUUUCCUAAGAACAUUGAGAGACAACAGCUAUGGGUGGCCAGGAUGAGGAGUCAGGAGUUCAAGCCAUCAAACAGGGCAGUACUGUGUUCUGAUCAUUUUGAGGAGGCAUAUUUUGAUAAACUGGACAAUCUGUUAGACAGAGACCAGAUGUAGUACCGACAAUCUUCAGCUUUCCUGAUCAUCUUCAAAAGAAGACAACCUGCGGAGCUACACAAAAAUCCACCAGUAGCAGGAUCAAGUCAUCAGCAGACUUCACCAGGCAAAGCAAUUACUUCAGCAGACCAUCAGUACUGCACAGCCAGCCCACAGUCAACGAAGAGAAAGCUUCACCAGACUGUGGAUGCGUUUCAGGCCUACAAAAAAAGGUUGAAGCUAGGUCAGCAGAAAACCAGGAGGUUGAGGAAGAAAGUAGAGGCCCUGCAAAACAUUGUUGACUCCAUGCAGAGUUCACACAUGAUCUCCGAGUCUUCUCCAAGAUCAGGCUGCAUCACUUGGCCAGGUCAUUCACAGCCAGUGCCACUGACAAGCUGGUCAGAAAGACACUUGACAAGCUAAUUUUGUUCAAACACCAGUAUAUUGCGAUUAUUUCGUUUUUGAAAAUGUUGAUUAAGAUAUGUACAUAUUUGAUAUAUUAUUUUUAAAUGCAAUAAUGUAAUGAUUCUGUGUUUGUAAAUCUCAAUCAAUUUAUCUGGUAUAAAGCUUUGUUUAAAUGUACAAGUAUAUUUUCAACGUAAGUCAACUUGAAUUACAAAAUAGCUGCUUUAUAUUGUGUUCAGAUUGCAGUCAUUUAGUUUUUGAAAUGUUUAAGAUAUGUACAUUUUAUAUUUUACUUUUAAAUGCAAUAGUGUAAUAUUUCUGUGCUAUUUCAUUUAGUUUUUGAAAUGUUGAAGAUAUGGACAUAUGAUUUAUAAUUUUAAAUGCAAUACUGUAAUUGUUUUAGAAAAAUUAUUUUCUAAAUCAACUUAAAAAAUUAAUUGUUAUUGAAAACUGUUUCUUUCUUUCAUAGUAUUUAAGUCUGUUUAUGUUUAGAACUAUGAAGUAAAUGCAUACUUAGCUGUUAGACCUAAGUUUAAGCUAAAUAUAGUGAGUGUAAGAGUUCUGUAUAUAGUAAAAUUAUAGAAUUGUAUAAAAAGUGAACACCAUCUUCUAUCUAUAACACUGAAGAGUUAAGGUGGGGAUCCUUUGUUAUUUAUAUAACUGAGUCAUUUGUUCCCUUCAUACAAUAUGCUCAGAGUAAGUUACAUGUAUUUAUGUAUUUAAUUACUUAAAUAUAGUACAGCAUACACCUGCAAUUACAGUAACUUAAUUAUUGAUAAUAGUAAAAAUGAAGGCAUUUAAGAUGCAGUAAGAUUCUUCUUACUGUGUUUGGGAUUUAUUAAUAUUAAUACGUUUUCUCACCUUUUUUUUUAGCACCGUUGCCUAUAUGCUUUGCACAGCAGUGAUCAGACAAAGCUACAUGUAGCUGAUCCAGUUCACACUUUCCCUUCACUUAUCCAUUGGUAUUUCUUAACCACCACUUGUACAUAAAUACAGAAAUCUGCUUGAUUUUUCAAAGGAGGGCUGUUUCAGUACUACCGUAGCAUUUUCUAUCAGCUAGCUUUGUAUUUGGUAACAUGGCAGUAUUUCUAGUAUAGUUCCUUUUAGAAGAGGUCAGUUUUAAUCUCUUAAAAUUCACAGCUUUAGGCAGGCAGGUUCACAGACUUUGAAGCUGAUGGUAAUUGGUGGGGUUACCCUUAGUAGAACGGUGCUGUAGGGCAGCAGUGUGGAGUAGUGGUUAGGGGCUCUGGACUCUUGACCGGAGGGUUGUGGGUUCAAUCCCCAGUGGAGGACACUGCUGUUGUACCCUUGAGCAAGGUACUUUACCUAGAUUGCUCCAGUAAAAACCCAACUGUAUAAAUGGGUAAUUGUAUGUAAAAAUAAUGUGAUAUCUGUAUAAUGUAAAAUAAUGUAUAAUGUGAUAUCUUGUAACAAUUGUAAGUCGCCCUGGAUAAGGGCGUCUGCUAAGAAAUAAAUAAUAAUAAUAAUAAUAAUAAUAGAACGGUGCUGUGCUUUGGCAAUAGUAACCCUGGCUCUCCCACGAUGGACAUGCAGCAGUGAAGUUGCUGGAACAUCACAUUUUUAGCUAUAUCUAGAGAACCUGUUAUCCAAAUGUGAAUAAACUUGGUGUGGUUGGGCUAAUGAAAUGAUACCCUGAAUUAGGCCACUUGUAUGUCACAGUAUGGUGAACUCUUAUCAUAGACAAGCUCACACUAGAAUCACACAUUCUUGAAUUGCCUUUCAGACAACCUAUUUAACUUGGAAAUUCAGUAGUAUCAGAUGUCACGUUUUAAAAUAAAACUAUAUGUAUGCAAUAACGUGUUUCUUUCAAAACUGCAUGUUUGAGACCCUGUGUCACUAUUGAAAGUGCAAAACGG